rnacentral:rRNA from 1 species
UCAGGAAGAGGUUAUUACAGACGAAGAGUUUUGAAAAGCUCCGCCACAGAAGGUAACAGCCCUGUAGUCGAAGUGAGAAGACUUCCGAUAUGAUCCAGAGUACCACGGGACACGUGAAACCCCGUGGGAAGCAGGAGGGACCACCCUCCAAGGCUAAAUACUACCCGGUGACCGAUAGCGCAUAGUACCGUGAGGGAAAGGUGAAAAGAACCCCGGGAGGGGAGUGAAAUAGAACCUGAAACCGUAUGUCUACAAGCAGUCGAAGCACCUUAAGAGUGCGACGGCGUGCCUAUUGAAGAAUGAACCGGCGAGUUACAUUAUGUUGCGAGGUUAAGUGGGAGACACGGAGCCGAAGCGAAAGCGAGUCUUAAUAGGGCGACUAGUAACAUGGUGUAGACCCGAAACCGCAGUGAUCUAUCCAUGGUCAGGUUGAAGCGCAGGUAAAAAUGCGUGGAGGACCGAACCCGUGAGUGUUGAAAAACUUUGGGAUGAACCGUGGAUAGGGGUGAAAUGCCAAUCGAACGCGGAGAUAGCUGGUACUCCCCGAAAUAGCUUUAGGGCUAGCCUCAGGGAAGAUUAUAGACGGUAGAGCACUGAUCUGGCAAGGGGGCGUAAAGCCUACCGACCCUAGUCAAACUUCGAAUGGCUAUAAUUAAGACCCUGGGAGUCAGACUGCGAGUGAUAAGACCCGUAGUCAAGAGGGAAACAGCCCAGACCGCCGACUAAGGUCCCCAAUGCUGUACUAAGUGGAAAAGGAUGUAAGACUUCAUAAACAACCAGGAUGUUGGCUUAGAAGCAGCCACCAUUAAAAGAGUGCGUAAUAGCUCACUGGUCGAGAGGCCUUGCGCCGAAGAUGUCCGGGGCUCAAGUACAGAACCGAAGUCGCGGCAGGAUUAUAUAAUUCUGGGUAGGGGAGCGUUGUAUAUCCGACUGAAGGUGUACCGGAAGGAGCGCUGGAGGAUAUACAAGAGAGAAUGCCGGUAUGAGUAGCGAAAAGAACAGUGAGAAUCUGUUCCACCGAAAGCCUAAGGUUUCCUGAGCAACGCUCGUCGACUCAGGGUAAGUCGGGACCUAAGCCGAGGCAAAAAGCAUAGGCGAUGGACAACAGGUUAAUAUUCCUGUACCGCUUCAAAUCGUUUGAGCAAUGGAGUGACACAGAAGGUAGCUUGAGCACGCGAAUGGAUGUGCGUGUCGAAGGUGGUAGAUUGCAGUAUAGGCAAAUCCGUACUGUAUAAGAUCGAGAACUGAUAGAUAGACGAUACUUCGGUAAAGUCAAAUUCAAGUGAGCCAUGCUGUCGAGAAAAGCUUCUAGUGAGAGAUGAGGCGCCCGUACCGAAACCGACACAGGUAGGCGGGGAGAGAAUCCUAAGGUGCGCGGGACAACCCUCGUUAAGGAACUCGGCAAAUUGUAUCCGUAACUUAGGGAUAAGGAUAGCCGGAGGAUGUGAAGGGAUUUACUUCUGGAGCGUCAGCCGGUGGCACAAGAGAGGCCCAAGCGACUGUUUAGCACAAACACAGGUGCCUGCGAAAGAGAAAUCUGAAGUAUAGGUGCUGACACCUGCCCGGUGCUGGAAGGUUAAGAGGAGGGCUUAGAGGCAACUCGAAGGCUUGAAUUGAAGCCCCAGUAAACGGCGGCCGUAACAAUAACGGUCCUAAGGUAGCGAAAUUCCUUGUCGGGUAAGUUCCGACCCGCACGAAAGGCGUAAUGAUUUGGGCACUGUCUCAACGAGAGACUCGGUGAAAUUUUAGUACCUGUGAAGAUGCAGGUUACCCGCGACUGGACAGAAAGACCCCAUGGAGCUUUACUGCAACCUGACAUUGAUGUUCGGUAAAUAACGUACAGGAUAGGUGGGAGACGGAGAAGUAUUGGCGUUAGCUGAUAUGGAGUCAACCUUGGGAUACCACCCUUUAUUUAUUGGACCUCUAACUGAAGAAGUAACGACUCUCAGGACAGUAUCAGGCGGGCAGUUUGACUGGGGCGGUCGCCUCCCAAAAUGUAACGGAGGCGCCCAAAGGUUCCCUCAGCGCGAACGGAAACCGCGCAAAGAGUGUAAAGGCAGAAGGGAGCUUGACUGCGAGUCAGACACGACGAGCAGGUACGAAAGUAGGGCUUAGUGAUCCGGUGGUUCCGAGUGGAAGGGCCAUCGCUCAACGGAUAAAAGCUACCCUGGGGAUAACAGGCUUAUCUCCCCCAAGAGUCCACAUCGACGGGGAGGUUUGGCACCUCGAUGUCGGCUCAUCGCAUCCUGGGGCUGUAGUCGGUCCCAAGGGUUGGGCUGUUCGCCCAUUAAAGCGGUACGCGAGCUGGGUUCAGAACGUCGUGAGACAGUUCGGUCCCUAUCUGUCGUGGGCGCAGGAGGUUUGAGGAGAGCUGCCCCUAGUACGAGAGGACCGGGGGUACGGACCGAU